CCCUCUGGCCUUGCGCCUCUGGCCAGCAGCUCCAGUGGGAAGAACAGGCCCUCUUCCUGCUGAUUUCUCUUUUAUUGGGCUUUGAGUUCCCCAUACAGUCUUGAACUGCCCUGGUAUCCAGGGUGAUAAGAACAACACUAGCCAAUCCUGAGGUGUGUGUGUCCCUCCCCCAGGGACCAGUAUCUUCAGAAGCUCAAGGACUAGCGAGGGGAAGGCGUAGUCCACAGAGAGGGACAUGUUUGUAGGGAAAAACAACAGAUGUCCCUACUAGGAGCUGGGGGUGUGCAGUCCCAAGCUGCGCAGAGACAAACGCUGGCUCGGUUGGGUGUGGAUGCCCGGAUCGAGAUUCUCGGGACUAGGCUCAACAUAGGUUAAUAGGCUUUUAUUCGGGGAGAAGACACUUACAUAGGAAACAGAUGACUGCAGCAAGUCCCUGCUCCAAGGAUCCACACAGGCUGCUCUCUGUGACCUGACCGGAAGCAAGAGAGAGCCACCUGUCCUGACCCCAGACCUAAACCAUCACAUUACAUCUGCACCUGUGACCGCGCCCAUUUGGCAGCCUGGAUUCAGGGGUAGGAUGGCAGAGACCCUCCCCAGAAGGGGUGCCUACCCCUGACAGAUGUGCAGAGCUUGUUACCCUUCUGUAGGGGCAUCUUCAAAAUCCCCCAAACUGGCUCCCUAAGAGUAGCUGUUGCCAGAGAGCCCACACUGACAGAGCUUUGCUGUGGGAUGGCACCACCAGGAAAAGGAAAAAGACACAAUGUUUUAAUUGAGGCCAGCACUCUGUCUUUUGUGUUCACUGGGCCUAGCUUGGACCCAGUCUACAAGAAAUAUGCAUAUUGGGGGCAGGACUUGACAGAAAUGGCUCUUUUGAUCUGAUCUGGUCUUGGACUGGGUGACCUUCAUUCACUUAGUGACCAAGUCUCUCUGAGUCUCCAGGCUCCUCAUCUGUCAAGUGAGGAGGGUGGAGUGCCUGGUCCCCAAGGCCACAAUGGGCUCUAGCAUCCAUUAGAUAGUCUUCUCUAUGAAGGGGAUCCCGGCUCCAGCACCAAACCUCCCUCCCAUCCCUUGCUCCCUGGACUCCAGCUCUAGGCUGUGGGUCUCUCUCAGUGCCCUGGAAGGGGCCAUCCGGGCCUGGGCCAAGGGCAGAGGUGCCUUCAGCAUGGUAAUUACUGUAAGAGUGGAGUUUAAGCUCUUGGCUUUAUAGGGUAGAGUCCUCUGUCAGCAGAAAGCCGAGGUCUCCCCGAGUGAGAGCUAAUUUCCUCCGUGGCUCGUUUCCCUUCCCCGCCGUCAUUUUUCCUCAGCUGCUUUAUGGCUGUGGAGCCAUUUGGAGCAGCGGGCAGUGGCAGUAGCUUCAUGCCCAGCAAUAGGAAACCCCCUACAUGCCUGCAUUGGGACCCAAGGGUGGCUGGGGCCUCCCAUGGGCAGUGACCUUGUGAACUCUGCCAGCUCCAGCUGUUCCCUACCAGGCCCCUGGUACUUCCUGGACAGGCUUGCAAGGAAAGAAUGUAAUUAAAUGAUGGUCAGGUCAGUCCAUGCUGUCUUGAACGCCUUGAUUAGCAGCCAUAGACUUUGCCUUUGGCUCAAAGCGGCAAGACAAGGGGAGGGAACAAGCCGGGUGCCAUCGGUCUUGAGGUGGACACCCUCACAGGCACAGCAAAAUGGAGUCCCCCUCAGAGGCCAUAGUCUCCUGUAGAGACUGUACACCAGUAGCUUUUGAGAAAGUGCUGCCCGAACUCCAGGCAUCAGCGGAGUGUGACUGGGGUUGGUCAGAUCAGUGGUGCAGCUGGUAGAGUCGGGGCUGGACGUAAGCUCACUGAGCCUCUGUUGAGUCAAGCCUCAGAACCUCAGUUCUUUCAGAACUGCAGGAGGGUCCUGAAGAAGACCGAAAUGCACAGGCUAAGCACCGUGCACAGGAGGGCAUGUGGGGUUGCCUCUCCCCCCCCCCCCAGCUCUGUUGGCGGAGGCAGGGACAAAGUUGUCCUCUGGAUUCCAGCAGCAGAUUCUGCUCAGCCUUGAGUGAACAGUGGCCCCCUCUUAGCACACCUCCUUUCGGCCCUGGGUCCCUUUGAGACUUCAUUAUGUUAUUCUGUUGCCUAGCAAUGGACACCCAGGAUCCUACAAAUGUGGCAUGAGAUCAAAAGGGAGAGUCGGGAAUCAGGAGGGCAGCACUCUUCUGAAGGCCGUGGGUGGCAGAAGGCCUGCUGCCAGGCAAACGUCGCAAGGAGCACCAGAGAGGAGGGGAAGAUGGGCUUGGUGGUCAUUUCUCUGGACCAGAGAAAUGGUGGCUCUUUGGAGUUGAGUUAGCCCCGCGUCCAUUCAAGACUCACGAGUUCCAUAGAGCUCUUACAUGUGUCUCUUGGAGUUCUGACUUUUCCAGGAUCUAUGUUCUCCGAUGUGCAGGAUGAGGACCGGGAGGUAGGAACAAGUUUAGGAGGUACCCAGAAUGCCAUCAUGUAGCGGGGAGGUCACUCCUAUUGGAUUCUAACACUUUCGACUGACUGCCUUAGGAGUCUUGGUCUGGGCUGGCAUUUCUUUAAAGCCUUACAACACUUGCCCAUUUGGCAAAAAGAGAUCAGCCUCAGCCCAGCCCCGGCACGUUCUGCAGCGCCAGGCAUUUGCUCGGAUUUCAUCGCAUUGCUUUGUUUUGUGGCAUUUGUUUUAACAGUUGUCUUCUAUUUAUGGCUCGUGAUAUUGGCUUUCCACUUACGGCAGUGAUAAAAAAGCUUCUUUUUACAUUUUAUUUCUUUAGGUUUUUUAAAGGUGGCUGAUGGGAAGAGAAAUACUUAAGUAACACGAGUAGGGUGGAUAAGGACUGUGACUGUGAUGGCAUGACUUGAAGGAUGUGAGUUUAAGAAAUGUUCAUUGCAGGGGCGUGACACUGUUGCCAGCCACUGGGCUGAGUCCUGAGUUAGCAAAACCAGGCAUACAAACCCCUGUCCUGACAGAGCCGGCAGUAUAGCAAAGUCCAGAAGCUGGAACAACUCAGAGGAUGCUGAUGGGUCCAUGGUGGUUAGCAGUUUGGAGAAGCAGGAAGCAGGAAGCAGGAAGCAGGAAUGGCCAGCGCUGAGCCUAAAGCAGAGACAAAGAGCAGAAGCACAGCUCCAAAGAAUGGGCUGUGCUGCCAGCCCCUCCUGGUGGAGGCUGGUUUUGGAGGCUCCCUGUUGGAGGCUGUGCACAGUGGGACGCACCCCCCACUUUUAAAGCAGCCUCUGCACAGUGAUGCGGGGUCCCAGACCUUAAUUGGCACCCAGCGCUGCACAGCUGCCACCCCAUGCCAGGAGGUCAGGACUCCCUGGAGGUGCACCAGCUGCCUCUGAACUCACUUUCUGAGCCAUCAAAGUGUCAACAGUGUGGUGACAAGUGUACUUUAGUGUUUCAGUUCUUUGAAAAUUGGCCAUCUAUCUGUGGUCCUUCUACAGCCUGGUAGGAAAGGCUAGGGAACCUCCUGGGUAGGAAAGCCAGAAGCUGGCUGCCUGGCUGGCUGAUUUUGGAGGCUUUCUUUGUUCUUUCUUAAAAAAAAGAGAGAGAGAGAGAGAGAGAGAGAGAGAGAGAGAGAGAGAGAGAGACAGCCUUAUGUGUGCAAGUACCCACAGAGGCUAGAUGAGGGUGUCAGCUCUCCUGGAGCUGAAGUUACAGGUGGUUUAAGCCACUCAGCUCUCAAUCUACAAGCCAGCUCUUCAGCCCCUCCUUCCCUUUUGUUCUUUUGAGCUUUGGUCAGCUCUAAUCUGAAAUGGGAAUAACAUGUUGAAUGAGGUCACAGCAUUGGCUUGGCCCAUGCGACUGGCUAAUGAUAAAUGGCAUCUUGUUCUUCUAUGGCCUUAGCCUUGCCUUACCGGGAACACUUCCAUGUCCCUUCUCCAGGAAGGGGGCUCAGGAGAUAAACAGGAAGCACAGAAGUCCAUUCAUUCAUUCAUUCAUUCAUUCAUUCAUUCAUUCAUGCAAUAAGUCCUUCCUGCCCAGCUCUGUGCCAGGCACUAUUCCCAUCGAUGGGCACUAUGCAAGCCGAGAUGCGGUCAUCCGGAUAUGUCAGCAGACCAAUUGUGAGACUCCGCCAGUAACAGAGGACACUCAGGGAUCCAGUGACAGAAGAGAUGACACUGGGAUGUCCACAAAGAUUAGAGCCCGGGAAAACAUUCCGAAAUUCCCUACGGGAAGGCAGCUGUAGGAGAGAGGCAGUCUGGCUAAUGUAACAGGCCGACAUCAUCUCGGCUCCCGGUCUUGUGCGCGUGAUUCCUUCUGGUACUCUGUCCAGUCUUAUGAAGGGCUCUUGAUUCAGGUCUCACCCCACAGACAGUCCUCAGAAGCCUGUCUAUACAGCGUCCACAGAAGCCUGUCCAUACUGUGUCCACAGAAGCCUGCCCAUACAGCGUCCACAGAAGCCUGCCUAUACAGCGUCCACAGAAGCCUGUCCAUACAGUGUCCACAGAAGCCUGCCCAUACAGCGUCCACAGAAGCCUGCCCAUACAGCGUCCACAGAAGCCUGUCCAUACUGCGUCCACAGAAGCCUGUCUAUACAGCGUCCACAGAAGCCUGUCCAUACUGCGUCCACAGAAGCCUGUCUAUACAGCGUCCACAGAAGCCUGUCCAUACUGCGUCCACAGAAGCCUGUCUAUACAGCGUCCACAGAAGCCUGUCCAUACUGCGUCCACAGAAGCCUGUCUAUACAGCGUCCACAGAAGCCUGUCCAUACUGCGUCCACAGAAGCCUGUCUAUACAGCGUCCACAGAAGCCUGUCCAUACUGCGUCCACAGAAGCCUGUCUAUACAGCGUCCACAGAAGCCUGUCCAUACUGCGUCCACAGAAGCCUGUCUAUACAGCGUCCACAGAAGCCUGUCCAUACUGCGUCCACAGAAGCCUGUCUAUACAGCGUCCACAGAAGCCUGUCCAUACUGCGUCCACAGAAGCCUGUCUAUACAGCGUCCACAGAAGCCUGUCCAUACUGCGUCCACAGAAGCCUGUCUAUACAGCGUCCACAGAAGCCUGUCCAUACUGCGUCCACAGAAGCCUGUCUAUACAGCGUCCACAGAAGCCUGUCCAUACUGCGUCCACAGAAGCCUGUCUAUACAGCGUCCACAGAAGCCUGUCCAUACUGCGUCCACAGAAGCCUGUCUAUACAGCGUCCACAGAAGCCUGUCCAUACUGCGUCCACAGAAGCCUGUCUAUACAGCGUCCACAGAAGCCUGUCCAUACUGCGUCCACAGAAGCCUGUCCAUACAGCGUCCACAGAAGCCUGUCCAUACAGCAUCCACAGAAGCCUGUCCAUACAGCGUCCACAGAAGGCUGUCCAUACUGCUUUCCUGGGUGCUCAGAGCUGCUCCCAGGCACCUGCAGCUGAACAGCUAGCCUGGGGGCACAGGGUGGACUCUGGGUUCCUGGUACACAUCCUCCCACAGCCACCACAUGGUUCUUUCUAGAAUGAAUUCAAUUUGUCUAUGCCCCAUCUGCUGCCCCCUUCCACGGCGUCCCGUGACACCUGUAAUGAAGUGAAGUGUUAGCGUGGCUUUCGCGGGCCCAGAGGCUUAUCCCUUCCUCGUUUCCAACCUGGAGCUCCACUGCGCCUCCCGCUCAGCCGUGUUCCACAGCAGCCUGUGGUUCCUUCCUGUGUGGUUCCACCACAGGCCUCUUGCACUUACAGUAAUGACCCUGACUUCGGCUCCAUCCAAGUUACAAGCCCCCAGUUUUCAUCAUUACGAGGCAACAGCUGGACAGAUGGGUUAGGGUGCCAAUCAGACUGCAUGCCUUUGCUGGCUCCCCAUGGCUCUCGGGCUGAGCCCAGACUCUCCUUCUCCACCUCCAGAACUCUGGAGAUCUGGGUCCCCUGACAUCUCUCAAAUUCUGCCCCCACCCCCUCCCACCAGCUCCACACGCUCCACACGCUCCACCAAAGCCUGGCCUUGGCUUUCAUAACAGCCUGAGCUGGAUCCCCACAAGCUGAGCUGCCCUGCACUUGCUAUCUCCCCUCCCCCCUGGUGUUUUUCCCCAGGGUCUCUGUGUCCGCUGAAGCAGCAGACUUUCUCAAACGUUCCCUUCAUGCCAUCUUUCCACUUUCUCUCUCUCUUAUCUUCUUUACAAUCGAGAAUUCGUUUAUACUUCUCAUCCACCCUGUUGCCUGUCUCCACUGGAACACUGUUCCAAGAAGACAGACUCCACAGCCAGCACCAGGCGUGGCGUCAGGGGCAGGUGAUAAUGCAGGCUGAGUAACCCUUAUCAGAAAUACUUGGAACCACAAGUGUUUGAGAUUUUGGAAUUUCUUCUCCUAGUUUGGAUUAUUUGAACAGGUAUAAUGAGCUGUCUUGGGGUUAGACCCAAGACUAAACAUGGGAUUCAUUUACAUUUGCCUAUGCACCUGAUACACAGAGCCUGAAGGUAAUCUUAUGCCAUAUUUUAAAUAAUUUUGCACAUGAAACAAAGUUUCAUGGCACAGAAUUUUCACGGUGUGGUCAUGUUAGUGGGUGAAAAGUUUGGCAUUUGGGAGCAUUUCAGACUUCAUGCUCAGGCUGCUCAACCAGGACUUGAGUGAACAAAGAGAGUGAUGAACAGAUGGGUGGGUGUCGGCUUGGGAGAGAGGGUAGGUGGUGUGCUUGUGGCUGUGUGUAGCGGGAGUGGACAGGGCUCUGUUGGAGAUGUGACCCGCCCAAGAGUACACAGGUCGCCGAGGCAGCAGGCUGGGCUGAGCCCGUCUGCCUCCUCCCAUCUUCAUUCUCCUGCUUUUGUGUCUUUUCCUUUGUGAGUAAACAUGUUAUUCCUUUCAGACUAGAAAUUGACUUGAGAAUCUGACAGCUGAUAGCACCCCAGACUCCACUGCCACACUGUAGCCUCAGUGUGAUCUGCUCUGGUUGCUUAACUCACUUGACUUCUGACCCCCUUAAACUAGCCUUUAGAAGGCUGGCGAAACCCUGCCUGUCCUUGCGGUCCUGUCAGCAGGGUCACCUGCAUGGUUGCCAGAGCUGAGGGAUCUCCAUGAGUCCCUCUUGCCUGACAAGAUGCCAGGCACCUUUGCCCUCCCAGAAUCCCCCAGAGAGGAGAUCACUGGGGUCUGCCCCUCCAGCACGGGUCUUUGAGGGGAGAAGAGGAAUCUGGAGUUUUGAGGACUGUGUUUGAGCUGAGCUGCAUGGGGGGGGGGGGUGCUGUGAGGGUAGAAUCGGGCGUCCCCAGUGACAUCCUUGCACACGAGCAGGCGUCUGUGAACCUUGGUGCUGUCUGAAUGGUAGCACUAGAGAGGGAAGGGACCCUGCUGCGGCCUUGCCUGGCUCUGAUCACUGAGCACUAGACAGAAAGCGAGGAGCACUAGCAGGGAGGAGGAACUGAGUAGAGGGGAGGCCUGGCAUCAGGCCCCAGACCAUUCUACCAUGAGGCCCUCAGGGCAAAGGAGGCUCUUCCCCUCUUCCAGAAAGUUCCAUCUUGGUGAAAUCUGAUUGAAGAAAACAGCAAGUGUUUCAUAUCGUCCUUGAGUGAUGAGGGGUGGUGGGAGCACUCUGAAGAAGGGAGGCAACAGUACGACAACUCCCAUCUGGGAAAGCUACCUGGAGAGCUACGUCCACAUAUGUGCCUGCAUGUGGGGAGAGGACCACACACCACCACCCGGGGUCUCCCCAUGAGAGCCUGCGGUUGGGCAGAUCCCUUCCUCCUCCUCUCCUUCUCCUGCUCUUCCUCUCCCUCCUCCUCUCCCUCCUGCUCUCCCUCUUCCUCUUCCUCUUCUCCUUCUGCUCUUUCUCUAAUUCCCCCUCUUCUAACAUGAAACAAAGUAUUCCAGUUAAGUAUGUAAAAUUAAAAAUUAAUUUUAAAAGAUA